rnacentral:rRNA from 1 species
ACGGCUCAGUAACACGUGGACAACCUGCCCUUAGGUUGGGUAUAAACCCGGGAAACUGGGUAUAAUACCCGAUAGGUCUCGAUUGCUGGAAUGCAUCGAGAUUUAAAGCUCCGGCGCCUAAGGAUGGGUCUGCGGCCUAUCAGGUAGUAGUGGGUGUAGCGUACCUACUAGCCUACGACGGGUACGGGUUGUGAGAGCAAGAGCCCGGAGAUGGAUUCUGAGACACGAAUCCAGGCCCUACGGGGUGCAGCAGGCGCGAAAACUUUACAAUGCGGGAAACCGUGAUAAGGGAAUCUCGAGUGCCAGCAUAUAAUGUUGGCUGUCCAGACGCCUAAAAAGCAUCUGUUAGCAAGGGCCGGGCAAGACCGGUGCCAGCCGCCGCGGUAACACCGGCGGCCCGAGUGGUAACCGCUUUUAUUGGGUCUAAAGGGUCUGUAGCCGGCCAAGUAAGUCCCUUGGGAAAUCUGGCAGCUUAACUGUCAGGCUGCUAGGGGAUACUGCUAGGCUUGGGACCGGGAGAGGUGAGAGGUACCUUGGGGGUAGGGGUGAAAUCUUGUGAUCCUCGGGGGACCACCAGUGGCGAAGGCGUCUCACCAGAACGGGUCCGACGGUAAGGGACGAAAGCUAGGGGCACGAACCGGAUUAGAUACCCGGGUAGUCCUAGCCGUAAACGAUGCUCGCUAGGUGUCAGUCACGGUGCGACCGUGAUUGGUGCCGUAGGGAAGCCGUGAAGCGAGCCACCUGGGAAGUAUGGCCGCAAGGCUGAAACUUAAAGGAAUUGGCGGGGGAGCAC